AUCGCAAAAACCAAAUCUCUGAGAGAUGCAACCAGAAGACGGAUGAGAAACAUACUUGAGGCUGAGAUGACAGAAUAACAUGGGACAUCUCCCCCUAAAAGCGUAAGAGUGAUGUAUGCGCAGGGCAUUGUUGCUCUGUCUCCAUAUCUGGAAGACCCAUAUUCACAACAUGGAUAUAAACAUUACUACGAUCCAGAGAGCAGUUCAGGAUACAUUGCAUGGCGGUUGAAGACCAUUCAAAGAAAAGCUGUGGAGGAAAGAAGCAUCUCAGUUUGCAAAUCUCCCAAAAGCUGGGACAGUGACUUGUCUACUAUCUUGCUGCUGCUACAUCUGCUACCACCAUCUGCACAAGGGCGAAAGAGACCAGGAAAGAUGUCUGCAUCUCAAGCUGUCAAUAACCUCAUCAAAUUCCCAAAGGUAUGUUGUUUAAAAUAUACUUUCCAUCACCUCUAUUUUCAUGGACAGUGAGUUGAGCUAAUCUACUGUCAGAGGAUAGUCACUUAAUACUGUUGUUUAAUGUG